UCCUGGAAGAGAGGAAAUCAGAUCAACUGGGGCUGCCUCAGACCUUGCAGCAGGAAUUCUCCCUGAUCAAUGUGCAAAUCCGGAAUGUCAAUGUGGAGGCGCGGUGGCUCACGCCUGUAAUCCCAGCACUUUGGGAGUCUGAGGUGGACAGAUCACUUGAAACCAGGAAGCCAGGAGUUUGAGACCAGCCUGGCCAACAUGGUGAAACCCUGUCUCCACUUAAAAAAAAAAAAAAAAAUUAGCCUGUAAUUCCAACUACUCGAGAGGCUGAGGCACAGGAAUCACUUGAACUUGAGAAGCAGAGGUUGCAGUGAGCCAAGAUCGCACCACUGUCCUCCAGCCUGGGUGACAGAGCA
rnacentral:lncRNA from 10 species